rnacentral:rRNA from 1 species
UUGGGUUAAGUCCCGUAACGAGCGCAACCCUUGUCCUAGUUACCAGCACGUUAUGGUGGGCACUCUAAGGAGACUGCCGGUGACAAACCGGAGGAAGGUGGGGAUGACGUCAAGUCAUCAUGGCCCUUACGGCCUGGGCUACACACGUGCUACAAUGGUCGGUACAAAGGGUUGCCAAGCCGCGAGGUGGAGCUAAUCCCAUAAAACCGAUCGUAGUCCGGAUCGCAGUCUGCAACUCGACUGCGUGAAGUCGGAAUCGCUAGUAAUCGUGAAUCAGAAUGUCACGGUGAAUACGUUCCCGGGCCUU